rnacentral:lncRNA from 1 species
CGGCGGCGCGCGCGGAAGACGGACGGCCCGGGCGGCGGGCGCGGCGGAGGCUCCUCCCGGCUCCCCGUCCCGCGCUCCGCAAGGGGCGCGGGGCUCUGAUGCGGGGGCGGAGGGGCUCUGCUCGGGGCUGGGCUGGGCUGACCCGCUCCGGCGCCGGGGACCACGCGCGACUGGUUAGAUCUUGUCGUGAUCUCUGGAAAACUGUGACUAUCUCACAUGCCCUGCCCUGCUCCGAUCCCCUGCGCUAACGAGCCAGGCCCCCCUUGAUUGCUGAUUUUACGCUUUUUGGACCAAUUGUGGGUCUCCGGGGGCGGGGUUUUGACAGCUCAGGCCAAGCUCCGGCCGGGAGGGGGGGCCGGGGAGAAGGUGUCGGAAGCCUCAGCAGUAAGAAAACAUGUCAACGGAAUAAAAUAUUAACCAAUGACGGCCCGACGGGCCUGAGACCCCUCCCCCUGGCCGGGCCCCCACCCCGCGCCCGCGCCCGCGCCCGCGCCCGCGGCUGCUAGCGCCGGGACUUGGAAGCGUGGAGGGCCGACCUGACCCGCCGAAAGGGCCGAGGCGGGGGGCGCCAGGGCCGAGGGCCUCAGGGAAGGACCCCUAGCCGCGUGCCGGCCCCAAGUGCAAAGCACUGACACGUCCCUGAGAGGAGAGGGGGCGCCCUCCUUCUCCCGCGCCCGGAAGCCCGGCUGCUCCGGCCGGCGCCCCAGCCUGGCCUCCGACUCGGCUCCUGGUCGCCGCCCGGGUCCCCGCACUCCACAGGGAGGCUGCGGGCGCAGGAAAGCGAGGCCAGUGGGCGGGCAAGUCGGGAGGCUCCGGAGGCUGAGGUCCCGGAGCGGAACCCAGGUGGCGGGAGCUGGGGCCACGUGGUCAUUCAACAAACGGUCCCAGUGGCAAGCUGGGGAUAGAAGCUCGAGAGGAAGAGACCCACGGUUCUGGAACCACGGCUUGCCCGUUCUUCUCCAGCUGGUGAGGGAUGUAGCAGAAGCCUAUGGACAGCCUGGCUGCUGCCACCAGGCAGAGUGCACGGGGCCACUGAGGGAGUCAUUGGGAGAAGAAGCCCAAGGCAUUCUAUCAGGAGAUCCCGGGAACUGGAUAAAACAACCUGCCUGGAAUGGCACAGAGCGCUGGUCUCUUACAGAGAGCUGGUGCCAUGGUGAGGCUGAGUGGCAUUCUGAGAUGGAAGGAGAAGGUUACAGUGGGCAAGGCCCUGCCCCAGGUGGGGGGUUGCAAUUCACGUUGCCCUGUGCUUACUCCAAAUGAGGAGGGACAGAGCAGCUAUCGUUCCUGAGAGAGGUAGGUGGGCACGCGCGCGCGUGUAUGUGUGUGUGUGUGUGUGUGUGUGUGUGUGUGUGUGUGUGUAUCAGAGCCGAGCUCAGAAAAUCCUGUCUGUGGUGGCAAACAAGAGGCUACAGUGACAUCUCCACUCUUUGCCAUGGCUGCCAAGUUUCUUGGCCCCUGCCCACUUUUCCAGACUCAUCUUCCUCCGCUCUUGGCAAAUCAUAUGGAUCCUCCUUCUGUUUGUUCAAAGUACGGUGCUUCCUUUAGCCUCUGGGCCUUCACAGCUUUGCCUUGCUUAUUCUGUGAUCAUAGCUUAGAUAGAAUUUCCUCCAGGAAGCCGUCUCUGAUCCUCUCCUAGUUUGGGUCAGUGCCCCUAACCUACCCUGUUCAGAACAUCAAACACUCCACUGUUGCCUCUGCUGUGUUUGCUUCCUCUUCUAGAGUGUAAGUCCCUCGAGGGCAGACAGGUCAUCUGUUCCCUAUGGCAGCCUUAAAGCUUAGGAUCUGCCUUUUUAAAAUCUACUUAUUGGUCCCAGAGAAUUAAGGUUGUCAGAGUACACAGAGAGAUGAUGUCCUCUUAGCCCCAAGCAGCUGGGGCUAAGAGGGAUUCUGCCCUGGAUCACCGGCCUCAGGUUUCAGAAUGUGUGGCUCUAGCCCUCAGCACAGGUUUCUCUUUUUUGGGGGGGGGGGCGCAGUUUACCGGAGAUCGAACUCAGGUCCUUGCACUUUCGAGGCAGGCGGCAGAACCACUGAGCUAAAUCCCCAGCCCCAAGGUUUCUCAAUCAAGAGGCCCAUGUCUCUGGCAAAGGAGAAGCAACUGGCAAGAAGUUGGCCACUUAAGACCAAGGGAGUUAAGGUUGGAGGAUGACUUGAGCAGUGUCCUCUAAGCCCAGAGGGUUUGCAUGUUGCAUUACGGUUCAGUGAGGCUGCUCUUAGGCCCUCUCACUAGCAGGCUCUCUCAGAUUGGAGUUCUGUGCCAGUCUGCCUGCACCUCUGCGUGCUCCUGGGCUCCUGGCCCUAGUUACCCUGCUCACUGACCUUCCUCCUGACUCUCGCCUGACUUAGUCUGCCCAGAACUUCUUGCCAACCGCUCUUCAUCUGGCAGAUAUGGAAGCCUGCGCCCAGCCAGGCCCCAGUCCUGCCAGGACAACCUGACCUCACCAACCAGGCACCACACACAGCACUGGACUUCGUAGAAGGAGAAGCAAGGAGGGGUGAGGGCAGGAGAGGGUACCCCAUGGAGGCUGAAUUGAGCACAGAACACUGAUACAGAUUUGCUUUUCUCUUUCUAGGCAAAAUGCCCAACUGGCACUGUUUUCAGAAAAAUUAAGCUGCUUUUGACUUAGAGGAUAAUCACAAGUUCCUGGAGGAUAAUAUUGAGAAGGGAAUCUGUCAGGAGAGGAUCUGAUCACACUCAGAUCUCACGCACAGCAUGGCAGUGGGAUAUUAGUUAUCUUGCCAUCCUGUUGUUUGGCACAAACCCUUGGAUAUACAGUGGUACCUCAGUUCACAAAAUCAGUUUGUCUUAUGAUUUUAGGGAAGAUGGCUGUGUUUGUGUUUGUGUGGGGAAGAUGUCUGUGGCUGUGUCUGUCACCCAAUGUGGGGUUUGUGAACAGAAGCAAAAUUUUGCCAAAUGCUUUUGUUUGCGAACUGAAUUGUUAGCGAAUAAAAGUAUUUUGAACAGAGGUACCAUUGUACUUCCUCCACCAUUACUUCUUUUUUUUUUUUUUGGUACCGGAGAUCGAACUCGGGUCCUUGUGCUUGCACAGCAGGCGGCGAAACCACUGAGCUAAAUCCCCGGCCGCUCAACCAGUACUUCUUAACUAGGGCUACACCAACUAGGGAGCUUUUCAAAUAUAUGGAGCUGUGGGGCCUACUCAGGCCACAGUCAGAAUUUCUGGGGGAUAAGAUUGGGGCCUGGGUAUCUGGCUGUUCUCGGGGAGGUUCAUGGCGGAGAGAGCUGACAGAGGCAUUUGGCAUCAACCUUCCACUAACUGCUGAUCCUCUCUGCUUUGGCCCAACACCCUAGUUCAUGACUUCCAUCAUGGCCAACCACGUGCAUAUAUCUGGUUAUUGCAUUUCUGCCAAUUGUUGCUGUGACCUAAGGAUGUUCUUAGACUCAAAAGUUCCUUAAAAUUAAAAUGCCAGCCAGGUGUGGUGGUGCACACCUGUAAUCCCAGCACUCAGGAGCCUGAGGCAGGAGGAUUGUCAAGAGUUCCAAGGCCAGCCUGGGCUACUAAUAGUGAGUUCAAGACCAGCCUGAAUUACAUAAUGAGACCCUGUCUGAAAAACAAACGAACAAACAAAACAACAACAACAAAGCAAAACAAAAAUGCCAUAUUAUUUCCAUUUAAGACUCAUCAAAGUCAUUUCUGAAAAGGAAAGUCCAUUUAUGUCCUAUUACUAGCUGCAAAGUUUAAGAUAUUCUGGGGUUCACAAAGAAUGACUAUUUAUAUCUAGAUGGGUCUCAGAGGGCUGAGAGUAGGUAAACAAUCGUCUCUUGUUUGGAGGGAACAUGAUGCAGAGCUGUGGCUCUGGAUCAAGCAUGUUUCUCACUGCAGCUUUUCACCAGCAUACUUUACAGGUUCUACAGAAGGGCUGCUGGACCCUAGAGGAAGCAGCAUGAUGUUGUGUGCAAAGGACUGGACUUGGAGUCAGAAAACCUGAGUCCACCACCAGUGAGCUGAGUGUCACUGAACAACACUCUGCCUCUGCAAGCUUCAGUGUCCUCCUGUGUAAAGUGGGCAUAAUGCUAUUGACCUCCCUUAAAAGGCUGUUGGAAGAACAAAAUAAAAUAGAAAGUGUACAUGCACUCAGGCUCUGUGGAGAUUCUAAAGUGAUGCACUUUUGGGAAAUAUGAGGCUCUGUUUUAAGGACACUGCCUACUCAGCAGCUGUCUCCUGUAGUGGCUGAUUUCUCUCCCUCCUCUCUCAGGCCCUGCAGUGGAGUCAGUGUUCUUGGUUUUUAUAG